GACUAAACCGCUCCGGUGGCCUAGUGGUUAGAGCGUCCGCCUCAAAUGCGGGAGGUCGUGGGUUUGAUGCCCGGUCGAGUCA